rnacentral:ncRNA from 1 species
UUUGUGGAAAGAUUUGGCCGCUUGCAACCACGGAAAAAAAUGCUAAAAUAGUAUU